UAGUUUCUGAAACUUGGUUUUACACACAUGUAUAAAGUUACUGAAACUUGGUUUUACACAUGUGUAUAAAGUUAUUGAAAGUAGGUUUUACACAUGUAUAAAAAGUUACUGAAAGUUGGUAAAUUACACAUGUGUAUACAGUUACUGAAAGUUGGUUUUACACACAUUGCAUGAAGUUUCUGAAGGUUCAGCUAAGUAAAUUGGACACAUUAAGGAUAGUAUAUUUAUGAAACCUUAGUUUUCAUUAAAAUGUCUAUAAAUUUUAAUUUUCAAGGAAGCUUAUAAUUCUCUCAAAUUGUCAUCAAAAUCAAUGAGAAAACAAUGGAAC
rnacentral:lncRNA from 1 species